UACAGAGGGUGCGAGCGUUAAUCGGAAUGACUGGGCGUAAAGGGCGCGUAGGCGGCCGUGCAAGCGUGGCGUAAAAUUCCCGGGCUCAACCUGGGGCGGCGCCACGGACUGCAUGGCUGGAGUACUGGAGAGGGCAGUGGAAUUUCCGGUGUAGCGGUGAAAUGCGUAGAGAUCGGAAGGAACACCGGUGGCGAAGGCGGCUGCCUGGCCAGUUACUGACGCUGAGGCGCGAAAGCGUGGGGAGCGAACAGG
rnacentral:rRNA from 1 species